CAAUUUUCGGGUUCAGGUUAGUAGCACAGACUUGGCCUCGCCUCCCCAAAUCUGUUGUUCACCGGGAGGGUCGCUGGUGUCCUUGAAACACAAUGCAAUCUUCCCUUGUGGGAUCUGGCCUUCUCCACGUGUCUUUCACAGUCUGUUGGAGGCACCGACCUCCAGUAUGGAAGCUCUGGGGUUUUUGGCCUGCUGCUCUUGUCCCUUGGUCCGUUGCUCUGCUCCAGUAGGUGCGCCUUCAUCCCGGAUAUUCUGCCCUUUCUCAUGUUCCACCUUGCUCAGAUUGUGUCUUUAGGUGUUGCCUUUUAUUCGUGUGAGAGCUAACUGAUGUCAGGUGUAUGCAUUUAGGGUAAAGUGCCUGUCUUUGCCUGAACCGAUUAACAGGACAUGUCCAGUGAGAUGUGAGAGAGUUAUUCUGGUUACUCUCAGUCACCCUCUUCCUCGGCCCAGUGUUUGUCUAAAAAGGGGGAGGUUGGGACUUCGGAAUAUUUUAAAAAAUAGGACGGGUGGAUGAACAAAAGAGGGGGGACUACUGCAUCUCACCAUGGGCUAUCUUACCCCAGUCCCUGAAGACCCCUCACCCAGGUGAUCCUUCAGCACUGGUCCACCCCCAGGAACUGGAUCCAAAAGCGAUGGGUGUGUCCUGGCCAUACGGAUGACAAGUCCCAGAGGUCUAGUGGUUGAGACACCCUUUGGUUUCUCACAGCUGCGACGAGUAGGAGGGUUAGUGCAGUGUGCACGGAAGCCUGGGCCGAAGUCCUGGGUUGAGCUGCCACAGGUGCAGAUCAUGAUGGUAGUAGCAAAUAUUCAAACAAGAACUGUGAAGGCCGCAGUGGAGAAGGGUCCCAUGUGAAAGACAGUUGAACAUGGUCAGUCGGUUCUAAGAGUUUGUCAAGAUCUCGUCUUACCUUAGGGCUCAGCAACCUCGCCUAGAGACGUGAGCGACUUCCUGUCCCUUGGGCAGCCACCUCAUCGCUGGGUCAGGAAUGCAGGCUCUGCCCAUCAGAUGUGGAGCCAAGUAAAUGUUGGAAAAACCCUCACUGAGAAAAAACCUGCAGGUAAUGGAGUGGAAGUUCCAGACUGGAUCCACCUAGUAGACAUCUGACUGAAUCCUCUUAAUAGAAAGCUGGUUUACUAUAGAUAUGGCUCCAGAUGACAGUCUUUUCCAGGAGUUGUAGACAAGGCGGUGGAUAAGAAGGCUCCAUGAAGUAAUGAUUCAGGUUGGCAGGAAGGCAGAGAUGAGCAGGCAAGGACUGGAGGUCAAAGGAAGAGGAGCACUGCAAGGAGGACCACCAGUUAAUGUGGAACUGAAAUAGGAGUUAAGUGAGGGAGAAUGGAGGAAGGCAACCAGGGAACAAGAAAACAACGAGUGCAGAAAAACAACAGUGUUCGUGCAACAGGAAAAUCCAAUAUUGCGGCGCGAGGCAUACCUCACGUUAGAGGAUGAAAAAGGCACCCAGCGGACUCCGGGAUGAAGGACUCAUGAUGCCAUGUGCCUACGCAACCCUCCAUGAGGGGAGUGGAAGCAUCGCCAACGUCGCCAUAGCGACCAUGAUGCUAGCCCGGGGCUGCAGCAGUGAAUCAUAACAGAGAUGGGCAAGCGCCAUUCAGAAGGGACAGGUGUUGGCCUCCGUUGCCCUCAGCCAAACGAAAGGGAGUCGGGUUCAGAUCCCCGAACCCAAAGCGGCAGAGAUGGGCCCCCUCGCGGCUUUCAAUACAGUAACACAAACGAUCCCGCAAAAGGCGGCAGAAGCCCUGAGCAGAGUUCUAUUUUCUUUGUAACGGGCAGGGCACCCUGGAAUGGGUUUGCCCCAAGAGAGGGUCCCGAGCCUUGGAAAGUGCUGCGGUUCCAGAGGUGUCCGGUGAACUCUCGCUGGUCCUUGAAAAUCAGGGGGAGAUGGUGUAAAUCUCACGCUGGGCCGUACCCAUAGCCGGAGCAGGUUUCCAAGGUGGCUUGUUGGAACAAUGUGGGCAAGGGAAGUCGGCAAGUCAGAUGGAUAAGGAUUGGCUGUAAGGGCUGGGUCGAUCAGGCUGGGGCACGAAGCAGGGCUGGGUGCACGCUGCAGCUGGAUGAGGCAUCCCCCGGCAGUGGAUGCGAGAUAGACCCUUCCUUCCUUCAUGGCUGGCGUGCUGCAUUGACCGAUGCCUAGCAGCUGACUUAAAACUGGUACGACUAGGGGAAUCUGACUGUUUAAUUAAAAAGAAGCAUUGCGAAGGUCCUCUGUGUGAGUUGACGCAAUGUGAUUUCUGCCCAGUGCUCUGAAUGUCAAAGUGUCGAAAUUCAAUGAAGCGCAGGUAAACGGCGAGAGUAACUAGGACUCUCUUAAGGUAGCCACAUGUCUCAUCAUCUGAUUAGUGAUGCGCAUAAAUGGAUGAGUGAGAUUCCCACUGCCCCUGCCUACUAUCUAGCAAAACCACAGCCAAGGGAACAGGCUUGACAGAACCAGUGGGUAAAGUAUAAACUGUUGAUCUUGACUCUAGUCUGGCACUGUGAAGAGACAUGAGAAGUGAAGAAUAGGUGGGAGGCCCUCAGGCUGCCAGUGAAAUAGCACUUCUCUUAUUGUUUUUUCACUUACCCGGUGAAGUGGGGGGGUGAGCCCCGUGAGGCUCUCGCUUCUGGCUAGAAGCACCCGGCGCCCGACGGGCAUGACCCACUCCGGGGUCAGUGGCAGGUGGGGAGUUUGACUGGGCCAGUAGACCUGUCAAACGAUAACACAGGUGUCCUAAGGCAAGGUCCGGGACGACAGUAACCACCCGCAGAUCAGUACAGCAAAAGCUUGCUUGAUCUCGAUGUUCAGUAUGAAUACAGACCAUGAAAGUGAGGCUUCACGAUCCUUCUGACUUUUUCGGUUUCAAGCAGGAGGUGUCAGAAAGGUUAACCCAGGGAUUACUGGCUUGUGGCGGCCAAACGUUCAAAGCGAUGUUGCUUAUUGAUCCUUCAAUGUCGGCUCUUCCCAUCAUUGUGAAGCAGAAUUCAACAAGCAUUGGAUUGUUCACCCAUUAACAGGGAACAUGAGCUGGGUUUAGACGGUCGUGAGACAGGUUAGUUUUACUCUACUGAUGAUGUGCCGUUGCAAUAGUAAUCCUGCUCAGUACGAGAGGAACUGCAGGUUCAGACAUUUGGUGUGUGUGCUUGGCUGAGGAGCCAAUGGGGUGAAGCUAGCAUCUGUGGGAUUAUGACUUAAUGCCUCCAAGUUAGAAUCCCCCUAAUGAUACCACAGUGCUGUGGAGCCUCAGUUGGCCUAGGAUAGCCGGCCUCUGGACUGGUGCAUAGAGCCGCUUGUCUCAGGAUUGAAGUGUGGUUCAGAAGGGGACCACCUCUCUCGCCCGUAGUGCAACGCAU
rnacentral:rRNA from 1 species